AUGUGGUUUCGUUCGGCAUUUGAUUUCCUUGGUUCGCUGUACACUCGAAAAUAUAAUCUUGGACUGAUUGGCGAUCAUAGUGCCUGUGUUGAACCACCUCAUCCCACACCAUCAAAAACACGCCACAGCCCGCGCCCGUCUUAUUUCCUUAUCCCCGCUCUCCCUCCAGUACCUCCAUCUCCUCGCACCGCUUCACCUACAGAUACUAGCUACCGCGACGCCAUGGGGGCGGUUUCAACACCAGCAAUGCAGCCGUGCCAUAUGGGGCGUCCUAGAUUCAUCCAUGGAAAUAGAUUGGCCACUGAAAAAAGAUCUAUCAAUGGAGUUUUGCCAGCAAAUACAUACCGUGAGUCUGAACAAACUUUGUUUUAG
rnacentral:rRNA from 1 species